rnacentral:rRNA from 1 species
AUGGCCUCCUCCGGCUCCUCCAACUCAACCCUCUCCGGCCAGAUCACCGAGCGCCUCACCCGCACCAAUUACAUCCUUUGGCGCACCAAGAUCACACCGCAGCUCCGAGGUGCUGGUUUCUUCGGGUAUGUUGAUGGAAGCAUACUCGAGCCGGCCAAAGUCGUCGUCACCAAGGACAAGGAUGGCAAGGAGGAGUCCAUCCCCAAUCCUCUCCACCACGUGUGGAUCCGGGAGGAUCAACAGCUAGGAUAUCUCCUGAAUAACCUCUUGAAGGAAGUGCUCGUGCAGGUCACCUCGAUCGUACAUGCACAUGAGCUAUGGUCGGCGCUGGCGAAGAUGUUCUCG